ACUCUACGGGGAGGCAGCAGUGGGGAAUAUUGCACAAUGGGGGAAACCCUGAUGCAGCCAUGCCGCGUGUGUGAAGAAGGCCUUCGGGUUGUAAAGCACUUUCAGUAGGGAGGAAGGUAGUGUAGUUAACACCUGCAUUAUUUGACGUUACCUACAGAAGAAGCACCGGCUAACUCCGUGCCAGCAGCCGCGGUAAUACGGAGGGUGCGAGCGUUAAUCGGAAUUACUGGGCGUAAAGCGCAUGCAGGCGGCCUGUUAAGUCAGAUGUGAAAGCCCGGGGCUUAACCUCGGAAUUGCAUUUGAAACUGGCAGGCUAGAGUCUUGUAGAGGGGGGUAGAAUUUCAGGUGUAGCGGUGAAAUGCGUAGAGAUCUGAAGGAAUACCAGUGGCGAAGGCGGCCCCCUGGACAAAGACUGACGCUCAGAUGCGAAAGCGUGGGGAGCAAACAGGAUUAGAUACCCUGGUAGGAUAG
rnacentral:rRNA from 1 species